AGUGAACGCUGGCGGCAUGCCUAACACAUGCAAGUCGAACGGUAACAGGCCCGCAAGGGUGCUGACGAGUGGCGGACGGGUGAGGAACACAUCGGAAUCUGCCCGGUCGUGGGGGAUAACGUAGGGAAACUUACGCUAAUACCGCAUGAGACCGAGAGGUGAAAGCGGGGGAUCGCAAGACCUCGCGCGAUCGGAUGAGCCGAUGUCGGAUUAGCUAGUUGGUGGGGUAAAGGCCUACCAAGGCGACGAUCCGUAGCUGGUCUGAGAGGA
rnacentral:rRNA from 1 species